CCUACGGGGGGCUGCAGUGGGGAAUAUUGGACAAUGGGCGAAAGCCUGAUCCAGCCAUGCCGCGUGUGUGAAGAAGGCCUUCGGGUUGUAAAGCACUUUCAGUGGGGAAGAAAGCCUUGGGGCUAAUACCCUCGAGGAAGGACAUCACCCACAGAAGAAGCACCGGCUAACUCCGUGCCAGCAGCCGCGGUAAUACGGAGGGUGCGGGCGUUAAUCGGAAUUACUGGGCGUAAAGCGCGCGUAGGCGGUCUGAUAAGCCGGUUGUGAAAGCCCCGGGCUCAACCUGGGAACGGCAUCCGGAACUGUCAGGCUAGAGUGCAGGAGAGGAAGGUAGAAUUCCCGGUGUAGCGGUGAAAUGCGUAGAGAUCGGGAGGAAUACCAGUGGCGAAGGCGGCCUUCUGGACUGACACUGACGCUGAGGUGCGAAAGCGUGGGUAGCAAACAGGAUUAGAUACCCCUGUAGUC
rnacentral:rRNA from 1 species